GCCCAGAUGGCGGAAUUGGUAGACGCGCUGGUCUCAAACACCUGUGGAUUCACUUCCAUGCCGGUUCGAUCCCGGCUCUGGGUACCA
rnacentral:tRNA from 1 species